AACGAACGCUGGCGGCAUGCCUAACACAUGCAAGUCGAACGAGACCUUCGGGUCUAGUGGCGCACGGGUGCGUAACGCGUGGGAACCUGCCCUUAGGUUCGGAAUAACUCCCCGAAAGGGGUGCUAAUACCGGAUAAUGUCUUCGGACCAAAGAUUUAUCGCCUUUGGAUGGGCCAGCGUUGGAUUAGCUAGUUGGUAGGGUAAAAGCCUACCAAGGCGACGAUCCAUAGCUGGUCUGAGAGGAUGAUCAGCCACACUGGGACUGAGACACGGCCCAGACUCCUACGGGAGGCAGCAGUGGGGAAUAUUGGACAAUGGGCGAAAGCCUGAUCCAGCAAUGCCGCGUGAGUGAUGAAGGCCUUAGGGUUGUAAAGCUCUUUUACCCGGGAUGAUAAUGACAGUACCGGGAGAAUAAGCUCCGGCUAACUCCGUG
rnacentral:rRNA from 1 species